CUGUCUCUGAUGGCAGUAAUGAUUAACAUCUACUGAGGGAUGCUAAAAAUUUUAAAUCCACUGAUGGAUUCCAGGAAGGCACACCUACUGAUGGGUGUUGGAAGGAAGUGCACUUACUGACAAGUGCCAAAUAGGUUUGGGUCAGGCUCGCGACGUUAAACAAGCGCUACUAGGAGGCAACCUAGAUUUCUUCUUACACUUUUGCAUUUUUAAAUUCCUAGAAUAGGUUGAAUUUUAAUUUUGGUGUGUACUCUUGGCUUUAAUACUUUUUCUGAAAAUGUUUGACUGACUGAUGUGCAUGAUGGAGCCAUUUGAUGAUUAUUUGAUGUGGAUAAGAAUUGAGUUGCAAUGCAUGUUGAUAUUCUAUGAAAUAGAAGUGUGAUGAAUUAUGAUCGUGGUUUUGAU
rnacentral:lncRNA from 1 species